rnacentral:piRNA from 1 species
UCAAGUAGGACAGUGAAAAUGUU